rnacentral:rRNA from 1 species
GAUGCUGGCUCAGGAUGAACGCUAGCUACAGGCUUAACACAUGCAAGUCGAGGGGAAACGAUAGGGAAAGCUUGCUUUUUCUAGGCGUCGACCGGCGCACGGGUGAGUAACGCGUAUCCAACCUGCCCAUCACUUGGGGAUAACCUUGCGAAAGUAAGACUAAUACCCAAUGACGUCUCUAGAAGACAUCUGAAAGAGAUUAAAGAUUUAUCGGUGAUGGAUGGGGAUGCGUCUGAUUAGCUUGUUGGCGGGGUAACGGCCCACCAAGGCGACGAUCAGUAGGGUUCUGAGAGGAAGUCCCCCACAUUGGAACUGAGACACGGUCCAACUCCUACGGGGAGCAGCAGUGAGGAAUAUUGGUCAAUGGGCGAGAGCCUGAACCAGCCAAGUAGCGUGCAGGAUGACGGCCCUAUGGGUUGUAAACUGCUUUUAUAAGGGAAUAAAGUGAGAGUCGUGACUCUUUUUGCAUGUACCUUAUGAAUAAGGACCGGCUAAUUCCGUGCCAGCAGCCGCGGUAAUACGGAAGGUCCGGGCGUUAUCCGGAUUUAUUGGGUUUAAAGGGAGCGUAGGCCGGAGAUUAAGCGUGUUGUGAAAUGUAGACGCUCAACGUCUGCACUGCAGCGCGAACUGGUUUCCUUGAGUACGCACAAAGUGGGCGGAAUUCGUGGUGUAGCGGUGAAAUGCUUAGAUAUCACGAAGAACUCCGAUUGCGAAGGCAGCUCACUGGAGCGCAACUGACGCUGAAGCUCGAAAGUGCGGGUAUCGAACAGGAUUAGAUACCCUGGUAGUCCGCACGGUAAACGAUGGAUGCCCGCUGUUGGUCUGAAUAGGUCAGCGGCC